GACGAACGCUGGCGGCGUGCUUAACACAUGCAAGUCGUACGAUGAAGCCCAGCUUGCUGGGUGGAUUAGUGGCGAACGGGUGAGUAACACGUGGGCAACCUGCCCCAAACUCUGGGAUAACUCCUCGAAAGAGGUGCUAAUACCGGAUACGAACUAGACAGACAUCUGUACUAGUUGGAAAGUUUUUCGGUUUGGGAUGGGCCCGCGGCCUAUCAGCUUGUUGGUGAGGUAACGGCUCACCAAGGCUACAACGGGUAACCGGCCUGAGAGGGAGACCGGUCACACUGGGACUGAGACACAGCCCAGACUCCUACGGGAGGCAGCAGUGGGGAAUAUUGCGCAAUGGGCGAAAGCCCGACGCAGCGACGCCGCGUGAGGGAUGAAGGUCUUCGGAUCGUAAACCUCUUUCAGUAGGGACGAAGCGAAAGUGACGGUACCUAAAGAAGAAGCACCGGCUAACUACGUGCCAGCAGCCGCGGUAA
rnacentral:rRNA from 1 species